GACGAACGCUGGCGGCGUGCCUAACACAUGCAAGUCGAACGGAGAAGGAUGAGAGCUUGCUCUUGUCAAUCUUAGUGGCGAACGGGUGAGUAACGCGUAAACAACCUGCCUUCGGUAUGGGGACAACAGACGGAAACGACUGCUAAUACCCAAUAAGCAACCUGAGAGCAUUUGAAGGAAUGGAAAGGUGGCCUCUCUAAAGAAGCUACCGCCGGGAGAGGGGUUUGCGUCUGAUUAGCUAGUUGGUGGGGUAAGGGCCUACCAAGGCGAUGAUCAGUAGCCGGUCUGAGAGGAUGAACGGCCACAMUGGAACUGAGACACGGUCCAGACUCC
rnacentral:rRNA from 1 species